rnacentral:lncRNA from 1 species
GAGGUGCACCAGUUGUUUUGCUUCUAGAUAAAUAACACUUUUGGUUUUCAAAUUAUAAAACUCGUGACACUUUGGUUUUCAAGCUUUAAUUUGCAAGUUCAAUAUAAUAAAUUCAUAUAAAAAAAGAUGAUAAAAAAAUAGUUUGAUACUAUUAAUCUUAAAUAAAGUAUUAUAUUAGAAGAAAGAGAUUUCAGUAGGCUAUAGAU